GUUAUGAAUUUUUCUGUUUAUAAUUUACCUUUGGGUAUAGGAUCACAAAUGAAGAAAUGGUUAACUGAUUCUACUAUAAUUUCUUCAUUGUUACAAAAUUUAAAACAUAUUUCUGUAGAUACUAAAAUUACAGUUGAACAUGAACAAGGAAUUUUAAAAUCAGCUACUUCUAGUAUUUUACAGGAUGCAAAUAUAUCUUGGUGGGAAUCUGUAUUUGGAUAUAGAUACUCCUAUCUCUCUCUUUUCUUGGUGUCUGGAUGGAAUUCUUUUGAUUUGCACUUGGGCUCUUCUGAAUUGAUCUGCCUGACUACUACUAGACAUGCUGAGGCCUUGUGACAAGUUUACCUAUGGUUGCUGCAAUCGUUACCUGCAACUAACUGUGUCGUCUACUUGUUUCACCCUAUGGUUCUUCCUUGGCCUUUUCAGUGGUUAUAUACACUAUUGUUCAUGUUUGUAAGCACUAUGAAGAUUACACAUGUUGUAUUUCUUGAUGGAACUGCUCCUACAGACUUUAUUGCUUUCAAUUCUGCAACAAAUGUAUCUUACUACUAAGGUAGUUAUGAACUGAACUUUCUCUGCAAUGACGCUGCUAUGGAUCUGAUUCCUUCAAUCAAGACUUGAACAUCUUUAUUUAUGAACUAUGUAAUUAUUGGAACAUUCUUUAUAGUAGUGUAUGACGUCAAAUCCACUGUCUAUUGUUUGAAAUAUGUCUGGUAUAUGUCUGGUAGUUUCUUCUGUGUUGGCCCUUAGUGUUUAAUCAUUGGGAUUGUGUCUGACAUAAAGAAAAGAAAGUGGGGGAAUGUGGAGUUAUAAAAUCAUGAUUAGAAUAAAUUAUAAAAUCAUGAUUAGGAAAAUAUACGAUUUCAAAGAAGAAUUACACAUUAAAUAUGUUAUUCAUAGAUAAAACAUUUAGAUAUAAAUUAAGAUAUAGAAUAUGGAAUAAAGAGUUAUAAAUUAAAUUAACUUAGAUAGGAUUAGUCAGUUUAGUUAGUAAUGGGUAAAAUAGUGUUUUAAAGACAAUGUAUUUAAAACUGUGACAUUUACAUUCAGUUGCUGUUGUCAAUCAAAACACCUAUACUGCUAGCUAAACAAAGUAUUAUUAACACUCUAAUACACUGCGCAUGAACAAGUUAAAAUAGUAUUUUCUAUAUGUCAGCCAAAAUUAUAAAGUCUUUUAAGGAAGUUAAAAUAUACAAAGAUAGCCAUUUCAUUUAUGGUAUGCUUUGAUUUCAUUGGCUUAAAAUGUGUAUAUAAGCUUUGCCUUUGUAUGAGGCUAUUGUUAUCUUCUGCCUUCAGAUCUCGAGGUAUGUAAUUAAUCUUGAUGUGAUUAAUAAAUAGUUUAUGUCAACUAA